rnacentral:rRNA from 1 species
AUUGAACGCUGGCGGCAGGCCUAACACAUGCAAGUCGAGCGAGCGGCGGACGGGUGAGUAAUGUAUGGGGACUGCCCGAUAGAGGGGGGGAACUACUGGAAACGGUAGCUAAUACCGCAUACUAUCGGAUAACCCAGAUGGGAUUAGCUCGUAGGUGGGGUAAGGGCUCACCUAGGCGACGAUCCCUAGCUGGUCUGUGAGGAUGAUCAGCCACACUGGGACUGAGACACGGCCCAGACUCCUACGGAGGCAGCGGUGGGUAAGAUUGCACAAGGGGCGAAAGCCUGAUGCAGCCAUGCCGCGUGUGUGAAGAAGGCCCUAGGGUUGUAAAGUACUUUCAGUCGGGAGGCGUUACCGGCAGAAGAAGCACCGGCUAACUCCGUGCCAGCAGCCGCGGUAAUUC